AAACUAACUAGGAUUCCCUUAGUAACGGCGAGUGAACCGGGAUGAGCUCAAAUUUAAAAUCUGGCGUCUUUCAGGCGUCCGAGUUGUAAUCUAUAGAGGCGUUUUCCGCGCCGGACCGCGUCCAAGUCUCUUGGAAUAGAGUAUCAAAGAGGGUGACAAUCCCGUACUUGACGCGACAACCGGUGCUCUGUGAUACGUUCUCAAUGAGUCGAGUUGUUUGGGAAU
rnacentral:rRNA from 1 species